AGAGUUUGAUUCUGGCUCAGGAUGAACGCUAGCGACAGGCUUAACACAUGCAAGUCGAGGGGCAUCACGGGAGUAGCAAUACAACUGGUGGCGACCGGCGCACGGGUGAGUAACGCGUAUGCAACCUACCUAUCGGAGGGGAAUAACCCGGCGAAAGUCGGACUAAUACCGCAUAAAACAGGGGCACCGCAUGGUGAUAUUUGUUAAGAAAUUCGCUGAUAGAUGGGCAUGCGUUCCAUUAGGUAGUUGGUGAGGUAACGGCUCACCAAGCCGACGAUGGAUAGGGGAACUGAGAGGUUGGUCCCCCACACUGGUACUGAGACACGGACCAGACUCCUACGGGAGGCAGCAGUGAGGAAUAUUGGUCAAUGGGCGGGGGCCUGAACCAGCCAAGUCGCGUGAAGGAAGAAGGAUCUAUGGUUCGUAAACUUCUUUUGCAGGGGAAUAAAGUGCAGGACGUGUCCUGUUUUGUAUGUACCCUGAGAAUAAGGAUCGGCUAACUCCGUGCCAGCCGCCGC
rnacentral:rRNA from 1 species